CUUCAAGUACUUGAAGGGAGCAUAUAAAGAGGAAGGGGAAUGGCUGUUUAUGAGGGUGGAUAGUAAUAGGACAAGGGGGAAUGGUUUUAAACUGAGACAGGGGAGGUUUAGGUUAGAUAUGAGGAGGAAUGAUAGGACAAGGGGGAAUGGUUUUAAACUGAGACAGGGGAGGUUUAGGUUAGAUAUGAGGAGGAAGUUUUUCACACAGAGUUUGGUGACACACUGGAACAGGUUGCCCAAGGAGGUUGUGGAUGCCCUGUUGCUGGAGGCAUUCAAGGCCAGGCUGGAUGUGGCUCUGGGCAGCCUGGUCUAGUGGUUGGCGACCCUGCCCACUGCAGGGGAGUUGAAACAAGCUGAUCUCUGAGGUUCUUUUCAACCCAGGCCAUUCUAUGAUUCUGUGAUUGUAUGAUCUGUAAUUAUUCUCAAA
ensembl:lncRNA